GCGCCGGUGGUGUAAGGCGUAGCAUCGCUGCUCGGAAAGCAGAAGGCGCUAGUUCGAGUCCUGCUUGGCGCA
rfam:Heligmosomoides polygyrus genome assembly, scaffold: HPBE_scaffold0000478